rnacentral:rRNA from 1 species
CAGCAGCAGCCGCGGUAAUACGGAGGGGGCUAGCGUUGUUCGGAAUUACUGGGUGUAAAGCGCACGUAGGCGGCUUGGUAAGUUAGAGGUGAAAGCCUGGAGCUCAACUCCAGAAUUGCCUUUAAGACUGCCGAGCUAGCAGGUGAGAGAGGUAAGUGGAAUUCCGAGUGUAGAGGUGAAAUUCGUAGAUAUUCGGAAGAACACCAGUGGCGAAGGCGGCUUACUGGCUCAUACUGGACGCUGAGGUGCGAAAGCGUGGGGAGCAAACAGGAUUAGAGACCCCUGUAGUCCCUGUCUCUUAUAC